CCGCAGAAGAUGCACCCAGAAAGCCCCACUGGAGACCCAGAGGAAAAGGGACAGAGAAACGGCCCCAAAUGGCUACCAAUCUUACAGUCUCACGAAGACUCUGGCCCAGGCCCUGAAUGCUGCUUAUUCCUCCAAAUCGAGGAGGGGAAGGAAGGAGGGAGAAAAGAUCUCGGGGUCUCCAAGGCUGCAGCAAUGGCAGUUAAAUAUGACAAGUUCAUCCCCAAAUCUCCCUCAAUCUUCUUGAAAGAAUCCGUUUCAUCAGUCAUCCCUUCUGUCCACUUUGAGUCUUCAGGGUCCAUGGCCUCUCCAGCCAUCUCCAAGCAGCCUGCCUUCAAACCAGACUCCUCCUUCAGGGAUGCCAGCAGCAAAUUAAGUUCCAGUCCAUCCAAUCCAUCCGAUUCAACAAUUGUUGCGUGCUUAUGAUUAUUGCCUUCAAGUUGAUUUAAAACCAUUGUUAUUUUAUCAAAUUUUUAAAAUGAAAUUUAAAAUAAAGUUUCAAAUAAAGCUUCUAAGUUGAAAGACUUUAUAUUCUUUAAAUCACAUCAAAUUAGCUUACUCUAAGAUCCUAUUAAUUACCGUAUUGAUGACCAAUGGCAAAUUAUAAUCCAUCACCUUCAGGUUUCAUAGGAAAGAUUAAAAAUUAUUUGAGUAACAUUUUGAUGACAGUUUUUAUCCAUUUAGUUAUCAUACCACCCCUCAAGUUUCCACAAAAUUCACAAAAUUCUUUGUGAGUCUUUUAUUGAAACCCAGUUCUAUCACCAGAGUUCCCAUAAUCCAUUUAUAAAGUGUAAUGAUAUGUGAGAAUGACUUUUGGGAUGAGGAGAAGAGAGGCUGCCUAGGGAGGGAUCAGAUAAGAGGGGAGAAUCCUGCAGCUGCAUAAUGGGAGAGAAAGAAACUCAGAAAGGAUCCUCCCUAACUUUUCAGGCUGAGAAAAGUGUUGGUGGGAGAUUUGUUCUUUCAGAUUUUAAAUUUUUUGUUAAAGUCACAUUACAAUAAAGCAGAAUUAGCACAUCUGGAGGUGUUUUCCAUCAGGAUUACAAGGGAGAAGAUUAGCCUGAAAGAUUUCUUCUUGAUCAACCCAUCCUUUCAGGAAAUCAACCUGUUGUUUUCAAAGAGUUUAUGGAUCAUCUUUUUUUUUCUCUGUUCAUUCUAUUGAAUGUUCCCUAUAAUUGCCCAACUGUGUGGAUUAUAUUUUCUUUAUAUUUUGUCAGGAUGUGAUUGACAAAUUUUUCUCAAACUUUUUCAUUCACUUAUGAAGAUAUUGGCAGUAUUUCUACCCUAUUUAACCAUAUUUGGAGAUUGGACAAUUGUAAAAGAAAGAUUCAAUGUGGGAUAAGAAACAAAGUUUUCUCUUUUUCAAAUUCUUGAUGUUCCCAUUCUAGUUUCAUCCCUUUCUGGAGAAGAAUGAAUUUUGGAAUAUUUCUGAGUUUAAACUGUACUUGGACCAAAAUGGAGAGAUAAGAGCAGAUGUUGGCAUUGGCGGCUUCUUGGUUCUCCCCAACGAACAUCCAAGUCCCUGCCUCAGUCCAACUGUGCGGAAAAUUGUCUUCCUGGAUUUGUCAAGAGGGCUCGAGAAGGAGAGCCAGUUUGCUGCUAUGACUGCGUUCCUUGUCCGGAGGGGACCUUCUCCACUCAGGAAGGUGGGUCACACUGAGGAAAAUGAGGCUUUGUGGAACUGGAUCCAUCCAGAAUCUUUUCAUGAAAGUGCAAGUUAAAAGAAACAGGCUCACCUUUUUUUAAUUUUUAACAUGCACAAUUUCUUAUCUAAAAGGAAGUAAAUCAAAAAGUCUUUGAAGGAGGGGCUGGGAGGAGAUGGGAGGAGGGGGUGGUAGACUGGGCAAGCUUUACUAACA